UACGUAGGGGGCAAGCGUUAUCCGGAUUCACUGGGUGUAAAGGGAGCGUAGACGGCGAUGCAAGCCAGAUGUGAAAGCCCGGGGCUCAACCCCGGGACUGCAUUUGGAACUGUAUAGCUAGAGUGUCGGAGAGGCAGGCGGAAUUCCUAGUGUAGCGGUGAAAUGCGUAGAUAUUAGGAGGAACACCAGUGGCGAAGGCGGCCUGCUGGACGAUGACUGACGUUGAGGCUCGAAAGCGUGGGGAGCAAACAGG
rnacentral:rRNA from 1 species